AACGAACGCUGGCGGCAGGCCUAACACAUGCAAGUCGAGCGGAGCGGCGGACGGGUGAGUAAUGCCUAGGAAUCUGCCUGGUAGUGGGGGAUAAAGUCCGGAAACGGGCGCUAAUACCGCAUACUAUCAGAUGAGCCUAGGUCGGCUUGGCUAGUUGGUGGGGUAAAGGCUUACCAGGGCGACGAUCCGUAACUGGUCUGAGAGGAUGAUCGGUCACACUGGAACUGAGACACGGUCCAGACUCCUACGGGAGGCAGCAGUGGGGAAUAUUGGGCAAUGGGCGAAAGCCUGAUCCAGCCAUGCCGCGUGGGUGAAGAAGGUCUUCGGAUUGUAAAGCACUUUAGGUUGGGAGGCGUUACCAACAGAAUAAGCACCGGCUAACUACGUGCCAGCCGCCGCGGUAAUAC
rnacentral:rRNA from 1 species